UUGGUAUAGAGUUAGGACUGGAUUAGGAUUUAGGAUUUGAUUAAGGUUUGAUUAGGAUUUGAAGUUGGAUUAGGAUUUAGGAUUUGCUUAGGAUUUAGAUUUUAGGAUUUUUUUAGGAUUUAGGUUUUACUUAGGAUUUAGGAUUUAGAAUUUUUUUAGGAUUUAGGAUUUAAUAUUUGCUUAGGAUUUAGGAUUUAAGAUUUUCUAAA
rnacentral:lncRNA from 1 species